rnacentral:tRNA from 1 species
GCGAGCAUAGUAUAACGGCUAUUAUAUCAGUUUUCCAAACUGAGGAUACGGGUUCGAUUCCCGUUGCUCGCU